rnacentral:lncRNA from 1 species
UAUUAGUUUGAAAUCUUUGCAACACAUCAAUAAAGUAAAACGCACUAAGCGUUGCAGCGGAAUAGCUUAAGUGGAUUACAUGUAUGAAGACAUGGAAUCCUGAGCCUAAUUUAGUAUAGUACUUAUAUAUCAAAAGCUUUGCUCUGCUGACAUCCAUCUGCAUCACAGCUUAACCUGCACAUUUAGAAAACAUAUGCAGGGCUGAGUACUCAAAAGCACUCAAUGGUCACAUGCCGAAAUAACUUGAAAGCUUGCUCUUAGAGCUAUAUAUUGAACUUGCCAUCUCAAGCAUCACACAGGAGUUUUAUUUAAAUAACCUGUGCAUGCCA